UACAUAGGGUGCAAGCGUUGUCCGGAAUUAUUGGGCGUAAAGAGCUCGUAGGUGGUUCGUCACGUCGGAUGUGAAACUCUGGGGCUUAACCCCAGACCUGCAUUCGAUACGGGCGAGCUUGAGUAUGGUAGGGGAGUCUGGAAUUCCUGGUGUAGCGGUGGAAUGCGCAGAUAUCAGGAGGAACACCAAUGGCGAAGGCAGGACUCUGGGCCAUUACUGACACUGAGGAGCGAAAGCGUGGGGAGCGAACAGGAUUAGAUCCCCUGGUAGUCCACGCCGUAAACGGUGGGCACUAGUUGUGGGGACCUUCCACGGUCUCUGCGACGCAGCUAACGCAUUAAUUGCCCCGCCUGGGGAGUACGAUCUCAAGAUUA
rnacentral:rRNA from 1 species